GGCCGGUUGGCUCAGUUGGUUAGAGCGUGAUGCUGUUGACGCAGAGGUAGCGGGUUCGAUACCCGUACUGGCCA